rnacentral:rRNA from 1 species
CCUACGGGCGGCAGCAGUGGGGAAUAUUGCGCAAUGGGCGAAAGCCUGACGCAGCGACGCCGCGUGAGGGAUGAAGGUCUUCGGAUCGUAAACCUCUGUCAGCAGGGAAGAACGGUCACUGUGCUAAUCAGCAGUGAAUUGACGGUACCUGCAAAGGAAGCACCGGCUAACUCCGUGCCAGCAGCCGCGGUAAUACGGAGGGUGCGAGCGUUAAUCGGAAUUACUGGGCGUAAAGCGCUCGUAGGCGGUAUGUCAAGUCAAGGGUGAAAUCCCCGCGCUCAACGUGGGAACUGCCUUUGAAACUGGCAAACUGGAGUAUGUGAGAGGGCGGCGGAAUUCCUGGUGUAGGAGUGAAAUCCGUAGAUAUCAGGAGGAACAUCAGUGGCGAAGGCGGCCGCCUGGCACAAAACUGACGCUGAGGUGCGAAAGCGUGGGUAGCAAACAGGAUUAGAUACCCGUGUAGUC